AGCGAACGUUUGCGGCGGGCUUAACACAGUGCAAGUCGAACGAGAAUCCCUUCGGGGGAGGAAAGUGGCGCACGGGUGCGUAACACGUGGAUAACCUACCCAUUGGUUGGGGACAACACCGGGAAACUGGUGCUAAUACCCGAUGUGUCGUAGUGGUCGCAAGGCUGCUACGAGAAAGGCCCGCAAGGGUCGCCAGCGGACGGGUCCGCGUCCCAUCAGCUAGUUGGUGAGGUAAUGGCUCACCAAGGCGAAGACGGUAGCUGGUCUGAGAGGAUGAUCAGCCACACUGGAACUGAGACACGGUCCAGG
rnacentral:rRNA from 1 species